rnacentral:lncRNA from 1 species
GGAAAGGCCACUGAGAUACACCUGAGGGGGAGUCUGAGGGCAGCAGCACAGUUGGACUGAGCGAAUGAGUGGCUGGCAAUCCACCUGGUUUGGAGGCGACCCCCUGGUUUUGCUGCUCUCUGAAUCCUCUACCCAUCUGGGAAGGUAACAGUGAGACGUACCAUCUGCAGCACACACAGCAGCUAUUGGAGGCUACUACUGACAGUUUGCACUACAGUUUUUUGGUGAGCAAGAAGCCAGGUAUAUUGUACAGUUGAAUAUUUCUGCGCUUGAGCUGCUGCAUUUCACAAUCUGGUCCUUCGACAACCCCCCACGCUUCCUCUUCCAAUUGCCUCCGAGUUCUGGGCUUACUUUUGGCAUAGUCUCCUAGACGCAUUUUGCUGAGGAUGGUAGAGCAGUAAAUGGAACCUCUGAACACUGAUUAUUUUGCUUCUGUGUGACUCAAGAAAGAGAAAGGAGAGAAGAAUUAAGUACAGCUAAAGGAAUUUACAUUUCUUUUGGAGAAGUUUGCAGAGGGACGACACAAACGAAGACUUGCAGACAUGGUUUCAUUGUUACCUGUGGAAAUUCAGAAACUGAAAGCCUUUCUUCUUUGUUAAGAAAGGAGAGCAUGGCUCUGACUGUACGAACAGGAUGAGAAAGUGGGAUCACCUUGGUAAAGGUGCUAGAAGCUGCUAAGAGUGAAUGAGAAAUUGCAGAAACCUUAGAAAAAUCGGACUGUGGAGUUACAGAUGUCCAGCACUUGCAAUGCAAGAAAUCUGCCCUACAAGCUGCACUGCUGAAUCUAAUGAUUCCUGGUCAAGUUCAUCUUAG